rnacentral:rRNA from 1 species
GAUGAACGCUGGCGGCGUGCCUAAUACAUGCAAGUCGAGCGAACGGACGAGAAGCUUGCUUCUCUGAUGUUAGCGGCGGACGGGUGAGUAACACGUGGAUAACCUACCUAUAAGACUGGGAUAACUUCGGGAAACCGGAGCUAAUACCGGAUAAUAUUUUGAACCGCAUGGUUCAAAAGUGAAAGACGGUCUUGCUGUCACUUAUAGAUGGAUCCGCGCUGCAUUAGCUAGUUGGUAAGGUAACGGCUUACCAAGGCAACGAUGCAUAGCCGACCUGAGAGGGUGAUCGGCCACACCGGAACUGAGACACGGUCCAGACUCCUACGGGAGGCAGCAGUAGGGAAUCUUCCGCAAAGGGCGAAAGCCUGACGGAGCAACGCCGCGUGAGUGAUGAAGGUCUUCGGAUCGUAAAACUCUGUUAUUAGGGAAGAACAUAUGUGUAAGUAACUGUGCACAUCUUGACGGUACCUAAUCAGAAAGCCACGGCUAACUACGUG